rnacentral:rRNA from 1 species
UGAGGAUGGCGGACGGGUGAGUAACGCGUAAGGAACUUGCCUCUUGGACUGGGACAACUGUUGGAAACGACAGCUAAUACCGGAUAUUAUGAGAUUCUCGCAUGAGAAAUUUAUGAAAGCUAUAUGCGCCAAGAGAGAGCCUUGCGUUCCAUUAGCUAGUUGGUGGGGUAACGGCCCACCAAGGCGACGAUGGAUAGCCGGCCUGAGAGGGUGAACGGCCACAAGGGGACUGAGACACGGCCCUUACUCCUACGGGAGGCAGCAGUGGGGAAUAUUGGACAAUGGGCCACAAGCCUGAUCCAGCAAUUCUGUGUGCACGAUGAAGGUCUUCGGAUUGUAAAGUGCUUUCAGUUGGGAAGAAGAAAGUGACGGUACCAACAGAAGAAGCGACGGCUAAAUACGUGCCAGCAGCCGCGGUAAUACGUAUGUCGCAAGCGUUAUCCGGAUUUAUUGGGCGUAAAGCGCGUCUAGGCGGAAAAAUAAGUCUGAUGUUAAAAUGCGGGGCUCAACUCCGUAUUGCGUUGGAAACUGUUUUUCUAGAGUACUGGAGAGGUGGGCGGAACUACAAGUGUAGAGGUGAAAUUCGUAGAUAUUUGUAGGAAUGCCGAUGGAGAAGUCAGCUCACUGGACAGAUACUGAUGCUGAAGCGCGAAAGCGUGGGGAGCAAACAGGAUUAGAUACCCUGGUAGUCCACGCCGUAAACGAUGAUCACU